GAUGAAGAACGUAGCGAAAUGCGAUAAGUAAUGUGAAUUGCAGAAUUCAGUGAAUCAUCGAAUCUUUGAACGCACCUUGCGCUCCUUGGUAUUCCGAGGAGCAUGCCUGUUUGAGUGUCAUUAAAUUCUCAACCUCACCAGUUUUGUAACGAGACAGGUGAAGGCUUGGAUGUGGGGGUUUUGCAGGCUGCCUCAGUGCUGGUCUGCUCUCCUGAAAUGCAUUAGCGAGCUCAUAUUGAGCUUCCGUCUAUUGGUGUGAUAAUUAUCUACGCCGUGGAUUGGACUCAUGCUUGCUUCUAACCGUCCGCAAGGACAAUUUACUUGACAAAUUUGACCUCAAAUCAGGUAGGACUACCCGCUGAACUUAAGCAUAUCAAUAAGCGGAGGA
rnacentral:misc_RNA from 1 species